GACGAACGCUGGCGGCGUGCUUAACACAUGCAAGUCGAACGGAAAGGCCCUGCUUUUGUGGGGUGCUCGAGUGGCGAACGGGUGAGUAACACGUGAGUAACCUGCCCUUGACUUUGGGAUAACUUCAGGAAACUGGGGCUAAUACCGGAUAGGAGCUCCUGCUGCAUGGUGUGGGUUGGAAAGUUUCGGCGGUUGGGGAUGGACUCGCGGCUUAUCAGCUUGUUGGUGGGGUAGUGGCUUACCAAGGCUUUGACGGGUAGCCGGCCUGAGAGGGUGACCGGCGACAUUGGGACUGAGAUAAGGCCCAGACUCCUACGGGAGGCAGCAGUGGGGAAUAUUGCACAAUGGGCGGAAGCCUGAUGCAGCAACGCCGCGUGCGGGAUGACGGCCUUCAGGUUGUAAACCGCUUUCGCCUGUGACGAAGCGUGAGUGACGGUAAUGGGUCAAGAAGCACCGGCUAACUACGUG
rnacentral:rRNA from 1 species